ensembl:lncRNA
UUCAUAUUCAGGAAGGAGGCAGAGAAGAAACAAAUAUGCAAUACAGUCUCCAUAAUGAAUGGUGUUAGGAAAACAUUAAGCAAGGUAGUAACUCAGCCUGACUUUACAAGUUGAAGAAGCAAUGGAUUCAAAUUCCCACAAGAUUCUCAGUUCUUGGACCCUAGCCUGCUGAAAAGAUGCACCUGCAGAUUACUUUGUGCCUUUCCUGAGGAUUCCUGUAUCACCGAAGAAGUACAACCCUUGUUAGGUUUCUGAUACUUGCUGAGUGUGUGUCUUCCCAGUUUCUUGAUAAUAACUCCAUCCUUCCAGAACAUCCAGAAUUUUUCCAAGGCAAAAUUUAGGGGAAAAUUAUCAAAG